AACCUGGUUGAUCCUGCCAGUAUUAUACGCUCACGUCAAGGACUAAGCCAUGCAUGUGUAAGAACGGGCUUUACGCCCAAUCUGUGGAAGGCUCAUUACACGAGUCAGAAACUCGUUGACUGGUUGCAUUUGGAUAACCCUACCAACUGUCGUGAUAAUACAUAGGCAAGCCUUCGGGCGACCUGGUGUUCACUAUGUGAGGUGGGACAUCAGCAGGGGGCAACCCCUGCAGGAACCGGCUUCGCGGCUGGUCUGUUAAAUGUCUCACUUCCCUAUCAGCUUGUAGGUUGGGUAUGUUCCAAUCCAUGCAGCAACGGGUACGGGGAAUCAGUGUUCGAUUCCGGAGAGGGAGCCUGAGAAAUAGCUACCACAUCUAAGGACGGCAGCAGGCGCGCAAAUUACCCAAUCAUAACAAAUGAUGGAGGUAGCGACCACAAAUAGCAGCCUCCCAGUUUUCUGGGGGGGAGCCAUUAGGCUAGCAAUGGAACCAUGGUAAACGUGUGGAAGAGAAACUAUUAGAGGACAAGUCUUGGUGCCAGCACCCGCGGUAAUUCCAGCUCUAAGAGCUUACACCUACAUUGUUGCAGUUAAAACGCUCGUAGUCUAUGAGAAGACCACGACUGAGGUACUGGGCUGCCUUCGGGGGCUAUGCCUUCCACUGUCCUCUCGAGGCUCAGUGGAACACCCAGGACUCAAGUCGCUGGCUUAAUAAUCGUGAACAAAUCAGUGCGAUCGAUGCGGGCCGUGCAUAAGUUGCUUGAAUGCCCAGCAUGAAAUUAUCCCUAGACCUAGUUGUCUGAUGUGACGAGAGACUGGUUGAAGCUCCUGGUAUUGCGUGCGCAGAGGUGAAAUUCCGAAAUUCGCGCAAGACGACCUGAAGCGAAGGCUGAUGAGCUCCCACGUCUCUGUCGAUCAGGAACGAAAGUCAGGGGAUCGAAGAUGAUUAGAUACCGUCGUAGUCCUGACCGUAAACCAUACCACCAGUUGGUUGGUUCGAAACACAAAGAGAUCACCCCAGAAAACAAGGGAAACCGAAAGGUCUCGGGUUCUGGGGGGAGUAUAGUCGCAAGGCCGAAACUUAAAGGAAUUGACGGAAAGGCACCACCAGGGGUGGAGUCUGCGGCUUAAUUCGACUCAACACGGGAAAACUCACCAAGUCCAGAUAGCGUUAUGAUUGACAGGUUAAUAGUCCUUUCUUGAUUCUCUAAUAGGUGGUGCAUGGCCGUUCUUAGUUCGUGGAGUGAUCUGUCUAGUUAAUUCUGUUAACGAACGAGACCUUUGCCGUUGAUUGAACUACUGCUAACCGGCUCUGCUGGUACAGUAGUCGGCCUACGGGCCAACCCACAACGGGACGAUACAGCGUACCCCAGCGUAAGGAAGUUAAAGGCAAUAACAGGUCUGUGAUGCUCUAAUAUGUCUUGGGCCGCACGCGUACUACAAUGGUGACUUUAGUGAGCAAGCACCGACGCGGCCCUGUCUAGACAGGUCUGCAUCUCCACUACUCAGAACGUAUAGGUAAUCUUUCAAACGUCAUCAUGACUGGGAUAGUAGGCUGUAAAGUCUACUCCAACGAGGAAUCCCCCGUAAGCGCGAGUCAUCAUCCCGCAUUGACUACGUCCCUGCCUUUUGUACACACCGCCCGUCGCUCCUACCGUUGGACUUGAAGGUGAGCUCGGUAGAGCCAGACCUCUGGUCAACGGCGAAACCGAACAAAUCUUCGUGUCUGUAGGAAGGAGAAGUCGUAACAAGGUUUUCGUAGGUGAACCUGCAGAAGGAUCAAGC
rnacentral:rRNA from 11 species